UUGAGAGAGCUGACUUGCACUCAGAGUACAGCAACACACACGUGUUGCUCUCUUCUAGUGUCGCUUCGGGAAGUUCCCCUGCCUUAUUCUUGUGUAUGCGUGUGUGUACUUGCCCGUUAUCUUCAUAUGCAUCGCUCUCUCGAGUUUUGUUGUUUGUUAUCGCUCAUCUUGUGAUCGUUCGCUUGCCUAUUUUCUGUGCGCCGCCUUUAUUUCGUCCGCUUUGCGCUCCCGCAACUUAGUUCUGUGUCGUGUUGGCCCCAGUAGUCAGUAUAGCAUAAGCCGUAUGAGUACACUUACAAAUCAGACCCGGGAUAUUCAAACAUAAUUGAUCAUUAAAAAGCUUUAAUUGCUACUAUUCGGGGUCAACUUAACACAGAACUAAGUUGCGAGUGCGCAAAGCAGGCGAAAAACGGCGCAAAUAGAGAAGGCAAAUGAUCUCACGAGAAAUUAUUAAGUGGAACGAGAAGCAAAAAAAAAUUUCGUGAGCGAGGUAGAUAACACACAAGUAUACACACUAUGCAUAACUUGAUAAACAAGAUAACAAAUUGCAGACGUCAAGGACUUCGAUGCCCAGGAUUUCCAAACAUUCAACAAGGGUAUUCUUUCCAUGAUCGGACUUUAUUAACGGCAUUUUUAGUUUAAAUAAGAUACACAGAUAAUUUCUACUCAUAUUUGUGUAAUGUUAAUAGAAAUGAAUAGAAAUUAAAAUUAAUUAAAAAACGUUAU